rnacentral:rRNA from 1 species
UGGGGAAUUUUGGACAAUGGGCGAAAGCCUGAUCCAGCAAUGCCGCGUGUGUGAAGAAGGCCUUCGGGUUGUAAAGCACUUUUGUCCGGAAAGAAAUCCUUGGCUCUAAUACAGUCGGGGGAUGACGGUACCGGAAGAAUAAGCACCGGCUAACUACGUGCCAGCAGCCGCGGUAAUACGUAGGGUGCAAGCGUUAAUCGGAAUUACUGGGCGUAAAGCGUGCGCAGGCGGUUUGCUAAGGCCGAUGUGAAAUCCCCGGGCUCAACCUGGGAACUGCAUUGGUGACUGGCAGGCUAGAGUAUGGCAGAGGGGGGUAGAAUUCCACGUGUAGCAGUGAAAUGCGUAGAGAUGUGGAGGAAUACCGAUGGCGAAGGCAGCCCCCUGGGCCAAUACUGACGCUCAUGCACGAAAGCGUGGGGAGCAAACAGGAUUAGAUACCCUGGUAGUCCACGCCCUAAACGAUGUCAACUAGUUGUUGGGGAUUCAUUUCCUUAGUAACGUAGCUAACGCGUGAAGUUGACCGCCUGGGGAGUACGGUCGCAAGAUUAAAACUUAAAUGAAUUGACGGGGUCAUAGCUGUUUCCU